rnacentral:lncRNA from 1 species
AAGAGAUUCAACAUAACAUGGGGGAGAAAAAUUGCGAGCUCUUUUUUUCUUUGGAAGCUCUUUGCAUGAGGCAUGGGUGGGGCCCGUCCCGGCAAGCUCCUACUGUACUGCGGACUCGGAGCCUUUUUCAACCUAUGGGCAGUUCCCAUUGCAAGAGGAUUUUGCUCGGAAAAAAAGAGCAACUGCAAGAGGAUCAGAAACGCACGCUGAAGUUUCUGACUGAGCGUGCAGAGGGCUUCUA